rnacentral:tmRNA from 1 species
GGGCCAGUACUGGUUUCGACGGGGGUUUUGAAGCUGGAGAAGCGAGUCGCGAGGCAGUGCGUUAUACUCCAAAACUAAAUAUAAACGCUAACGAAGAUUUAGCACUCGCUGCCUAAUCAUAGGCUGCUGUCCGCCUUAUAAGACCUGCAUUUUAAGAUACGGGCAUCAUCAUGGCAGGAAACGACAUUUGCAAAGCUUUGAGCAUUUGGGCGUAAUAUGAAGCUACUGAAGGUAUCAGGCCGCCGAUCGUCGUAUACCGGAGGGAAAUGGGUCAUUUUAAUAUGAUCCGGAAAUAUUCGGCUACACUCGUAGAAGGACAGUGAAUUGGCUUUCGGACAGGGGUUCGACUCCCCUCUGGUCCACUC